UACGUAGGGGGCAAGCGUUGUCCGGAUUUAUUGGGCGUAAAGAGCGUGUAGGCGGUUUGGUAGGUCCGCUGUGAAAACUCGAGGCUCAACCUCGAGACGCCGGUGGAAACCAUCAGGCUAGAGUCCGGAAGAGGAGAGCGGAAUUCCUGGUGUAGCGGUGAAAUGCGCAGAUAUCAGGAGGAACACCAAUGGCGAAGGCAGCACUCUGGGACGUGACUGACGCUGAGACGCGAAAGCGUGGGGAGCAAACAGG
rnacentral:rRNA from 1 species